CAUCUAGGCGGUCAAUCAAGUCGAAGGUGAAAACUUGUGGCUCAACCAUAAGCUUGCCUACGAAACUGAUUAACUAGAGUACUGGAGAGGUGGACGGAACUACACGAGUAGAGGUGAAAUUCGUAGAUAUGUGUAGGAAUGCCGAUGAUGAAGAUAGUUCACUGGACAGAAGCUGACGCUGAAGUGCGAAAGCUAGGGGAGCAAACA
rnacentral:rRNA from 1 species